rnacentral:rRNA from 1 species
GAUGAACGCUGGCGGCGUGCCUAAUACAUGCAAGUCGAGCGAACAGACGAGGAGCUUGCUCCUCUGACGUUAGCGGCGGACGGGUGAGUAACACGUGGAUCACCUACCUAUAAGACUGGGAUAACUUCGGGAAACCGGAGCUAAUACCGGAUAAUAUAUUGAACCGCAUGGUUCAAUAGUUAAAGACGGUUUUGCUGUCACUUAUAGAUGGAUCCGCGCCGCAUUAGCUAGUUGGUAAGGUAACGGCUUACCAAGGCAACGAUGCGUAGCCGACCUGAGAGGGUGAUCGGCCACACUGGAACUGAGACACGGUCCAGACUCCUACGGGAGGCAGCAGUAGGGAAUCUUCCGCAAAGGGCGAAAGCCUGACGGAGCAACGCCGCGUGAGUGAUGAAGGUCUUCGGAUCGUAAAACUCUGUUAUUAGGGAAGAACAAAUGUGUAAGUAACUAUGCACGUCUUGACGGUACCUAAUCAGAAAGCCACGGCUAACUACGUG